AUACAGAGGGUGCAAGCGUUGUUCGGAAUCAUUGGGCGUAAAGCGCGCGUAGGCGGUGAGAUCAGUCUGAUGUGAAAGCCCAGGGCUCAACCUUGGAAGUGCAUCAGAAACUGUCUCACUUGAAUCUCGGAGAGGGUGGUAGAAUUCCUAGUGUAGAGGUGAAAUUCGUAGAUAUUAGGAGGAAUACCGGUGGCGAAGGCGACCACCUGGACGAUGAUUGACGCUGAGGUGCGAAGGCGUGGGUAGCAAACAGGAUUAGAAACCCCGGUAGUCC
rnacentral:rRNA from 1 species